AUUGAACGCUGGCGGCAUGCCUUACACAUGCAAGUCGAACGGCAGCACGGGUGCUUGCACCUGGUGGCGAGUGGCGAACGGGUGAGUAAUACAUCGGGAACGUACCUUAUCGUGGGGGAUAACGCAGCGAAAGCUGUGCUAAUACCGCAUACGCCCUGAGGGGGAAAGCGGGGGAUCGAAAGACCUCGCGCGAUUAGAGCGGCCGAUGCCUGAUUAGCUUGUUGGUGGGGUAAAGCCCACCAAGGCGACGAUCAGUAGCUGGUCUGAGAGGACGAUCAGCCACACUGGGACUGAGACACGGCCCAGACUCCUACGGGAGGCAGCAGUGGGGAAUUUUGGACAAUGGGGGGAAACCCUGAUCCAGCAAUGCCGCGUGAGUGAAGAAGGCCUCGGGUUGUAAGCUCUUUGUCUAGGGAAG
rnacentral:rRNA from 1 species